UUUUUCUUUCUCUCCCUUUCUCUACAGCCUUCGUGUUUGAUUUGGAAUUUUUUUUUUCAUUCUCUACUCGGGUUUGAUUUGGAAUUUGAGAGGGUGAUUCCCUUUGUUCCUUCACUUCUCAUGUUUCUGAUUGAAAAUCUCUGGAUUUGGUUUUGUAGUUUUCUAGAUCAGAUUUCACUAUCUUCUCUUUGUUUCUUUCACUCAUCCAGUGAGAAGGAAUCGUCUUUCAUGUAUUCUUCUGUGUAAUGGCGAGGGAUUCUGUUUAUUUGUGAGGAAUCAGGAUUAACUUUUGAUUCUCCGUUAUCAAAUUCAUGGAACUUAUCGUUCACACCAAGACCUAUAAAAACCUCUGUGGUUGUUGAUUUAAUUUAAUUUUGGUGUAGAACUUCAUCAAAGAUUUUUGUGGUAUUAUUGGUUCAGAUCUUCCAUUGCCUCCAGUGCUAGCUGUUCUGCUUUUGCUUUACUUAGCCAUUUGAUUCUACAUAUCUCUAUUGUCUUUGAAACAUAGACGUUUCUUAAAACUGUUAGCUUACACUACUGAUCCAAGAUAUUAAACCCCCAUGUUAAGAUCUCAUAAUGCCACUUUGUGAAGCUUGUAUCUCACUGAAUCUUGCGACUUUCUGUGGAACAUGAUUAUGUAUCCACUGUUUUCGAUAACUUAAGCGCUAAUGACUAAUGUGAUAACUAGGAUUGUGGGAUAUCGCAGGUCAGGAGGAUUAUAACAAAUUGAGACUUUUGAGUUAUUGCAGCGAUCAUAAGAUUUUUGGGGGAAGAUAAUAUUAGUUUGAGCUUUAUGAUCUGUACAGCUGCUUGACUAAUGUAAUCCUUCCCAUUGCAAUUGUCUCAGAUCAAAAAACUCAGCAAGAAGAUGCAGAAACAUGGCGCAAUCUUGCAUUGGAUACACAGUAAUAGCCACUUUGAAAGCUUCUUAAAGAUUCUUUUGUCUCUUGAUGUGUAUGAUCAAAAACAAAACUGUUGUAUGAUGAAGACAUAAUUGCGUUAUUGGAAUAAGUUUUUUUU